UGCGGUGUCGCUCGUGUUGGUACGAGCAGGCGGCUGUUAACCGUCUUGUCGCAGGUUCGAUUCCUGCCGCCGCAG
rnacentral:tRNA from 1 species